AACGAACGCUGGCGGCAUGCCUAACACAUGCAAGUCGAACGAAACCUUCGGGUCUAGUUGCUCACGGGUGCGUAACGCGUGGGAACCUGCCCUUAGGGUCGGAAUAACUCCCCGAAAGGGGUGCUAAUACCGGAUAAUGUCUUCGGACCAAAGAUCUAUCGCCUUUGGAUGGGCCCGCGUUGGAUUAGCUAGUUGGUAGGGUAAAAGCCUACCAAGGCGACGAUCCAUAGCUGGUCUGAGAGGAUGACCAGCCACACUGGGACUGAGACACGGCCCAGACUCCUACGGAAGGAGGCAGUGGGGAUUAUGGAAAAAUGGGCGAACGCCUAAGCCAGCAAGGCCGCGUGAGUGAUGAAGGCCUUAGGAUUGAAAAGCUCUUUUACCCGGGAUGAUAAUGACAGUACCGGGUGAAUAAGCUCCGGCUAACACCGU
rnacentral:rRNA from 1 species